UACAGAGGUCUCGAGCGUUAGGCGGAAUCACUGGGCUUAAAGCGUGUGUAGGCGGAUCGUUAAGUGCCUUGUGAAAUCCCACGGCUCAACCGUGGAACUGCUUGGCAUACUGGCGGUCUUGAGCAACCUAGGGGCGAGCGGAACAAAUGGUGGAGCGGUGAAAUGCGUAGAUAUCAUUUGGAACGCCAAUGGUGAAAACAGCUCGCUGGGGGGUUUGC
rnacentral:rRNA from 1 species